rnacentral:lncRNA from 1 species
ACUGUUUGUUCUCAAUCACAUGUCGGGAUCCUGCAUCUUAUAUGUGGCUAGGGAUAAGCAGUCCAAACAGGGGAUUAUUGCUCCUCAACAUGCAUGCAGGGACCUACAUGGCACGUGCGGCUGAAUACAGUCAUACGCGUAGACUAACAUCUUGACACACCUUCCAAAAAGUAUAUGUGUGCCCUGAUAGGUCCCAAAGACCAACUUUAAUUCUUUU